rnacentral:rRNA from 1 species
GUGAGGAAUAUUGGUCAAUGGGCGGAAGCCUGAACCAGCCAAGUCGCGUGAGGGAUUAAGGCCCUGCGGGUCGUAAACCUCUUUUGCCGGGGAGCAGUGGUCCGGACGAGUCCGGGCCGGGAGAGUACCCGGAGAAAAAGCAUCGGCUAACUCCGUGCCAGCAGCCGCGGUAAUACGGAGGAUGCGAGCGUUAUCCGGAUUUAUUGGGUUUAAAGGGUGCGUAGGCGGGCAUUUAAGCCGGCGGUCAAAUGUCGGGGCUCAACCCCGGCCUGCCGUCGGAACUGGGUGCCUUGAGUGGGCGAGAAGUAUGCGGAAUGCGUGGUGUAGCGGUGAAAUGCAUAGAUAUCACGCAGAACCCCGAUUGCGAAGGCAGCAUACCGGCGCCCGACUGACGCUGAGGCACGAAAGUGCGGGUAUCGAACAGG